ACAAAUGCUUUGAAAGGGAAUAGUAAAAAGAUGAAGCUUUAUAGAGAGGGGAUUGUCCGGUGAAAUAUCCUCAUGAUGGAAUCUUUUGAACCCGCCCUGGAGCAGGAAGGCUGAAGAUAUUAGGCCUUCACGGUUUGUGCCCGUUAAAGCUUUUCAAGAGGACGCAGUUUGCGUCAACUAGAGUGGUACCGCGAAUAUUACCGUUCGUCUCUAUU
rnacentral:ncRNA from 1 species